CCCUCCCGCUCAGGCUGAAGCAGUCUGCCUGAGCUGCAGGGCCUGCCGGAGGUGCACAAACAGUGUGAGGGGAACCUCCCCUAUGCUAGGAAACUCCCAGCCCAAAGGAGGGCAUCCACAGUUUCCAGUGUUACUCAGGUAGAAGUUAAUGAAAAUGCUUACAAAAGUGGCUCUGGCAUGCAGAUGGCAGAGGACAGCAAGAGGGUAAGACACACCAGACACUGCCCGGCAUCCAGAGAGUGAAGGACAAAGCCCAGUCUGGUGGCAAAUGGAAAG
rnacentral:lncRNA from 1 species